UCUUCGGAGAUCUGGUUCCGACUAGUGUGUUUGUUUUUGAUCUGCUCACUCUCAGUCUUAGUUUGUGUGGUCCUUUGAAUCUGUCUCUGUCGAUGAGAACUGUCAAUUUUCUCUUGUCGGAUUGUGUUUUUGGGUUUUAGGUGUUUUGAAUCUCAACUUUUCAUACAAUGUGAUCCCAUAGCGGAGUGGAUAUCGCGUUAGACUCCGAAUCUAAAGAUGAUUGAUGAUCAAGAUUUGGGGUUUAUAGUCAAUUCUCUUGGCAUCUUCAUCUUCGGAUUGGUAAUUGCUUAUCAUUACGUAGCUGCUGAUCCCAAAUACGAAGCCACUUGAGUGAAUGUAUCUUUAGAUUAUGUAAGGCUUUAUAGUUUAUAUAUGUUUCAAACUGAGAAGAGAAUAACAAAAGUCUUUGUUUAGA